rnacentral:rRNA from 1 species
AGAGUUUGAUCCUGGCUCAGGACGAACGUUGGCGGCGUGCUUAACACAUGCAAGUCGAGCGGUUGAGAAGUGGGAGUUGAGAAGUUAGGAGUGGGAAAAAUGACGGGUGAGUAACGCGUGGAUAAUCUGCCUGUAAGACAGGGAUAACGCCGGGAAACCGGUGCUAAUACCGGAUAACCUCUUUGGUUCGCAUGGUAUAAAGAGAAAAGGUGGCCUCUUUACAAUGCUACCACUUACAGAUGAAUCCGCGUCCCAUUAGCCAGUUGGUGGGGUGGCGACGAUCGGUAGCCGAACUGAGAGGUUGAUCGGCCACACUGGGACUGAGACACGGCCCAGACUCCUACGGGAGGCAGCAGUGGGGAAUUUUGGACAAUGCGCGAAAGCCUGAUCCAGCCAUGCCGCGUGCAGGAUGAAGGCCUUCGGAUUGUAAANNNNNNNNNNGGGGGACGAAACAGACGACGGUACCGUAUGAAUAAGGCACGGCUAACUCCGUGCCAGCAGCCGCGGUAAUACGGAGGAUGCAAGCGUUAUCCGGAUUUAUUGGGCGUAAAGGGAGCGUAGGCGGUUUGAUUAAGCUAAUUGUGAAAGUGCGGGGCUCAACCCCGUAUGGCCAUAGAAACUGAUAGACUUGAGUGCAGGAGAGGGCAAUGGAAUUCCAUGUGUAGCGGUAAAAUGCGUAGAUAUAUGGAGGAACACCAGUGGCGAAGGCGGUUGCCUGGCCUGUAACUGACGCUGAGGCUCGAAAGCGUGGGGAGCAAAUAGGAUUAGAUACCCUAGUAGUCCACGCUGUAAACGAUGAUUACUAAGUGUGGGAGCAAUUAAGUUAUGCACUGCUGAAGUGAAAGCAUUAAGUACUCCGCCUGGGGAGUACGGUCGCAAGACUGAAACUCAAAGGAAUUGACGGGGGCCCGCACAAGCGGUGGAGUAUGUGGUUUAAUUCGACGCAACGCGAAGAACCUUACCAAGGCUUGACAUCCUGUGACAGCUAUAGAAAUAUAGACUUCUUAGUUUACUAAGACACAGAGACAGGUGGUGCAUGGUUGUCGUCAGCUCGUGUCGUGAGAUGUUGGGUUAAGUCCCGCAACGAGCGCAACCCCUACAGCUAGUUGCCAGCACAUAAAGAGUUGGGGACUCUAGGGGGACUGCCGGUGAUAAAACGGAGGAAGGUGGGGAUGACGUCAAAUCAUCAUGCCCCUUAUGUCUUGGGCUACACACGUACUACAAUGGCCUGAACAGAGGGAAGCAAAACUGCGAAGUUAAGCGAACCCCUUAAAACAGGUCCCAGUUCGGAUUGUAGGCUGCAACUCGCCUACAUGAAGUCGGAAUCGCUAGUAAUCGCAGGUCAGCAUACUGCGGUGAAUACGUUCCCGGGCCUUGUACACACCGCCCGUCACACCACGAAAGUCGGCAACACCCGAAGCCGGUGACUCAACCCGAAAGGGAGAGAGCCGUCGAAGGUGGGGUUGGUAAUUGGGGUGAAGUCGUAACAAGGUAACC